rnacentral:rRNA from 1 species
AUACGUAGGGUGCAAGCGUUAAUCGGAAUUACUGGGCGUAAAGCGUGCGCAGGCGGUUUUGUAAGACAGAAGUGAAAUCCCCGGGCUCAACCUGGGAACUGCCUUUGUGACUGCCAGGCUAGAGUACGGCAGAGGGGGCUGGAAUUCCGCGUGUACCAGUGAAAUGCGUAGACAUGCGGAGGAACACCGAUGGCGAAGGCCAUCGGCUGGGCCUGGACUGGCGCGCAGGCAGGAAAGGGUGGGGAGCAAUCAGGAGUAGAUGCCCGGGUAGUGCACGCGCUAAAGGAGGGCAACUGGUGGUUGGGUCUUCAGGGACGCAGGAACGAAGGUAACGGGUGGAGUUGACCGGGUGGGGAGUACGGCCGCAAGGUUGAAACGCAAAGGAAUUGACGGGG